AGAACGAACGCUGGCGGCAUGCCUAACACAUGCAAGUCGAACGAGACCUUCGGGUCUAGUGGCGCACGGGUGCGUAACGCGUGGGAAUCUGCCCUUAGGUACGGAAUAACAGUGAGAAAUUACUGCUAAUACCGUAUGAUGUCUUCGGACCAAAGAUUUAUCGCCUAGGGAUGAGCCCGCGUUGGAUUAGCUAGUUGGUGGGGUAAAGGCCUACCAAGGCGACGAUCCAUAGCUGGUCUGAGAGGAUGAUCAGCCACACUGGGACUGAGACACGGCCCAGACUCCUACGGGAGGCAGCAGUGGGGAAUAUUGGACAAUGGGCGAAAGCCUGAUCCAGCAAUGCCGCGUGAGUGAAGAAGGCCUUCGGGUUGUAAAGCUCUUUUACCCGGGAAGAUAAUGACUGUACCGGGAGAAUAAGACCCGGCUAACUCCGUGCCAGCAGCCGC
rnacentral:rRNA from 1 species